rnacentral:lncRNA from 1 species
GCUUUGAGUCAGUGAUCAUUUAUCAGGUACUAUGUACCGGUGAUACAGAAUGUAGCGAUGGCUUGAGAUCCUGCAUGUGUUGCAGAUUCUCUAUAGCUUGUAUGAGCAGCAUCGUGGGCCUGUUAAAAUUCUAAAGUUAAUUUGAAUGAAUGAUACCCUUUCGAUUACCUGAAAUGAGAUAUUGAUAGAACUAUGACUUGGUUAUGAUAAUUUAUCAUAUGGCAUUUUGAUUAUGUGAAUUAUCUAAGUAUAAGUGUUUUCGAAAAGUUGAAAUAAUAGUAAUUUGGAAUAUGAUUUGAAUUAUUGUAUUGUGCAUUACUCAUCUGUUGUGAGUUGUGACUGACAAGAACUUAUUUUUUUAAAUCUUAUACAUUGUUUAUUUAUGUUCAAACAGAUAAGAUUAUCGUUUAAUCAUCAAACUUACUAAGCUUCCAUAAACUUACUCGUAUCUUGUUCCUUUUCUUGUAGAUUACAUUUUAUGGAGGGGUGAUCUGAUCAACUCGCAAAAUCACACUAUCCUGAUGACUCUUUUGGUGGAUUUUGUAAACAUUGGUUAUAUGGCAUGUAAUAGGGCAAAUGAUUAUGUUGGAAAUGUUUCAUAACCUUAUGUGGUUUUUUGGUAUGUUUGAUGUUGUGGAAUGGUAACCUUAUAUGGUAUGCUUGUUAAACUCUAAGUUGAGCUUGAGUGUUUUGUCUAGGGAAUGGUAAGUGACAUGUUUAAGUACAAUAUGAUGAGAUUGAAAUAGAUUAGUUGGUGUGUAUGUUAUGACUUGUAGGUGAUAUGAAAUGAUAAUGUUUGGGUAUGGACAUUAUUUUGUAACUUCAAGUAUAACACCUUGGUUUGGUUUUAGGUGGUUCAAAUUGGCAUGUUUUGGUUGCUUUUAGGUGUGGUUAUAGUCUUGUGAUCAUGUGUUAUGAAUUGGUUUAGGUACCUAUGUAAUUGGAUGAAAAAUGAGCAUGAUUUUGGUUACUUUUAGGUACACAUGGCAUGGGACACGGGCUGUCACAUGACCGUGUGUCACACAUGGGCAAACUAUACAGACGUGUGCCCCUAGCAUGUUAGGUGCAGGAUUCACACAGGCUGACACAUGGGCUGUGACACGACUAUAUGACCCAAGUUAGAGAGCUACACAGCCCAUGCAUACAAGCGUGUAGAAUGGCCAUACGGCUAUGUCUGGAGCCACACAGUUUGAGCUUUAUCACACUGCCGUGUAACCCUAGUUUUGAAUUUUUUUCAUUUUGUCCCAAAUCUCCUAUUUUGUUUCGAAUUGGUCCCUGAUUGUUCCUAAACUAUUUUUAGGCCUCGUAAGCUCUAUUUAAGUCCCAUGAAUGUAUGUCUUGCUUCAUUCUGAAUUAUUUAUGAAUAUUGUCAAUUAAUUUGAUGAAUUAGAUGCAAUUGUUAUGGAAUGUUUUGCAUUGUACAGUAAUACUCCAUAACCCUAUUUCAGCGAUGGAAAUAGGUUAUGGGUGUUACAGCUCCUAACAAGCCUACUGCAACUCUGGGUACAAUUUUUUCUCUAUUCUAUGGGCUUUACAAAUUCCCCAAAAAAUAAAAAUUCACUUGUGGAAAGUCUACAAUGACUAUAUACCUAUUUAUGCUAACCUAAGAGAAAUCUCCCUAGUCUUGGUGCUUGCCCGUUGUGCCUUGAAGGUACUGAAUCAGUGGACCAUCUGAUCUGAGCUCGCCUAUGAACAACGAAGAGUUCGAACGAGAAGCAAUCACGUUUCCCAUUGGUCCAAUAACGCGAGCUAGAGCUAAACGUUUCAAAGAUGCUAUUUCAGCAAUGGUGGAACGGGUUGAGGAAAAUGAUAGCAAGAAGUUUAAAAACGAGAUGAACAUAUUCAACUUCUUUGAAGCUGAAUUUCGUUCUAGCUAAUUAAAUUGCUACUGGAAUUUUAGACCAUUUAAAUAAGCAUUUAAAUAAGUUUUAUUACAGCUUAUAAAUAUGUCUUUAGUUAAUAUAAGUGUUUAAUAUGUCUUGAUCUAGUUGAAUUAAAAGAUGUAUUGAUUUCAUUUAGUUUGUCUAAAUUAAUACAUGUCUUAAAUUUGUCCAGCCGAAUUUAUGUGUCAUGUUUUAUUAAUAUUUAAGUUGCUUCAAUGUUAAAUUAGGAUGUUCACAUUAUGCCUUUAUUUAGUUCAGCUAAAUUUGUUUGAAAUUAAUUAAGUUCAUGUGUAUUUUUAGGUGCAGCCGAAUUUGAAGAUUCAUUGGGCAGAUUUAUGCAUGAAGAUUCAAGGGAUGUGAAGAUGCAUGCAUGUUGGAUUCAAUGCACCAAAUGAUUCAUGCAUGGAAUGCAUUAAACAAGGUGUGCUGAUAUUUGAAGUCUUCUAUGUGACCAUUCAGCCAAAAGAGAUGAUUCUUCAUCCUCCAAGGCUGCCAUUUAUUUCCUUCACAUUGCUGGAUACAUUUUGGCCAUUCGGUUCAUGGUGUUCACACUCUAAAGGCUCUUCAAAACUGUCCAUUCACACCUAAUGUGGCUGCUCAAGUACUCUCUUUAUUAUUGAUAAUUUUUCAGCAAGAGUUACCUAUUGAAUGCUCAUUUAAGCCCAGUAGCCGAAUGUAGCUACUACAUGCAUCUCCAAGGUUCAUUUGCUUAAUGUGGAAGCUUCAUGUAUGGUCACCAUUCAGCCGAACCUACAUUGGCCAUUUUUGUUCAAUGUUUGCUUAGAAACUAAGUCUAGAAUAUGUCCAUUCGGCUACUAGGCAUUAGGCUAUAAAUAGUUACUCAUUUUCUUGUAAAAGGACUUUUGACAAAUUUCUGAAUGAAAUAUCAUUUUAGUAAGGCAAUUCACUCUCUUUAUUCUCCAAAGCUCAAAUUGACUUAUCUUCAACGAGUGGCGUCAAUCUGACUUUGUUUCGAACUUAUCACCAUUGGUGUGGCGUUCUUCAUACCGUAGGUUCCUAUUUUGCUAAAUAGAGGGUCUCGGUUAUUAUCCUAAUUCCUUUUCCUUUCUUUGAAACCUUAAGCCCGGGUCCUUAUUUGCUAAUAAGGGUUCGACUUGUUUCUUCAAAAUAUCCAUCAAACAACACUCUAUCAAACUCCUUUGUUUCCCAAAGCCAUUUAAUUUUAAACACCAAGACUUGAAUUUGUUUCGAAACCGACACUACCUAAUUUCGAUCGGGAAUUAAUACGACUCGUCACAUCUUCCGAAACGAGCUCGUAUCACCAUCUCCUUAGGUUUUGUUCAAUUACAGAACAAGUUCUGGGCUCUUUUCAUGUCAUCAGAUCUCCUUUCUCAAAGCACUCAAACCAUAGAUAUUGGUUAAUAGAAUCUUUCAACAUGGCAAAUGAUAAAAACAAAAGCUAUUGACAAUAACAAUAUGGUCUAUUUGGUUUGCCAGAAACUGAUUGAUGCAUAAUGGCAUCAAACAAUGAAUUUAAGAUAUAUCAAGGUUUAUUUUAGGGUAAAUAAUAGAACUAGAAUCGUUAUUACAAGAGAGCUCCUCUGUUUGUAUACCUAAGGCUACUUACUAGAGGCCACUAGAGGAGGGCACUGUGAAAAUUAAUUUCGAUCCCUCUUUUAAUGUGCAUGAAAACAGAUCAUUCUUAGGCAUUAUUAUACGAAACGAAGUGGGUUUGAUAAUGGGGGCUUGUACUUACCCUCACUCCCAUGUUGCAGAUGUGUUUAUGGCAGAGGCUCGGGCAUGCGAACAGGUGAUUUGGUUUGUGAGGGAGCUUGGGUUCUAUUCUGUUUAGAUCGAAGGGGACUCUCUUUCGAUUAUCAAAAAACUACAAUUGGACACACCAGAUAGGUCAAUUUUAGGCCCAAUCGUUGCAAACAUUAAGUAGAAAAUGGGUUUGUUUGCUACUAUUACCUUUCACCAUGUGAGGAGAGAUGCGAAUGAGGCAGCCCAUGUGUUGGCAAGGGAGGAACGUCAAUUAUCAGAGGGAUGGUUAUGGAUCGAAGAAGCACCGGAGUUGGUCGAGAGAGUGGCUGCGGUGGAUUGGUCAAAGUAUUGUCUUUCACGCUAAUCAGGUUUUUGCUUUGGUUUUUCGUAAAACUUCAUCUUUCACUCCGAUAAUCUACUAAAGCUUGUCUCUUUAUAGGAUUUUGUUCUUCUACUGAUUUUCUUCUCUGGUUUUGGAGAGUUUGUUGGUUUCUUGGCUUGUUUUUCUAGGAGGUUCUUUUAUGACAUUUCAAUUCUUUCUUGUUUAAGUUUUUCCUUUCCUUUCCGUUUUAUUUAUUUAGGCUUUAAUUUUUUUUGUUUUUGUUGUUUCCCGAUGAUGGGAUUGUGGAACACAUGGUAGGUUCACCUCCUAAUUUGUUUUAUGGAAGCCAACUAUUUAC